rnacentral:snRNA from 1 species
ACAGCUUCUUGGCCUUUUGGCUAAGAUCAAGUAUAUGAACCCAUUUUCUAAGGGCCUAUUCGCACUUUCCACCUUAGAAUGGGAUAACUAUCCCAUUCUAAGGUGGAAUAGACCCCAAUGUGCNGACACCAUCCACACUAUGGGACCUACAAUC